UACGGGGGGGGCAAGCGUUGUUCGGAAUUACUGGGCGUAAAGGGCUCGUAGGCGGCCAACUAAGUCCGACGUGAAAUCCCCAGGCUUAACCUGGGAACUGCGUCGGAUACUGGUUGGCUUGAAUCCGGGAGAGGGAUGCGGAAUUCCAGGUGUAGCGGUGAAAUGCGUAGAUAUCUGGAGGAACACCGGUGGCGAAGGCGGCAUCCUGGACCGGCAUUGACGCUGAACAGCGGAAGCCAGGGGAGCAAACGGG
rnacentral:rRNA from 1 species